AUGGGCGAAAGCCUGAUGCAGCGACGCCGCGUGGGGGAUGAAGCAUUUCGGUGUGUAAACCCCUUUCGACCCGGACGAAUGCCUCGCAAGAGGAGUGACGGUACGGGUAUAAGAAGCCCCGGCUAACUACGUGCCAGCAGCCGCGGUAAGACGUAGGGGGCCAGCGUUGUUCGGAAUUACUGGGUGUAAAGGGUUCGUAGGCGGUGUGGCAAGUUGGGAGUGAAAUCUCUGGGCUCAACCCAGAGGCUGCUUCCAAAACUGCUGUGCUUGAGU
rnacentral:rRNA from 1 species